GGGGGGGGGGGGGGGGGGGGGGGGGGGGGGGGGGGGGGGGGGGUGGGUCGGGAGGGGGGGGGGACGGGUGGGGGGCGCGUGGGGACGGGCCGUGUGGUUCGGGCCACCGGAGUGACCCUGGGGCUAAGAGCGGGUGUGCCCUGCUGUGGAAAGAUUUAUCGCCAUUGGCGCGGCCCUCGUCGGAUUAGCUAGUUGGUGAGGUAACGGCCGACCAAGGCGACGGUCAGUAGCUGGUCUGCGAGGAUGAUCAGCCACACUGGGACUGAGACACGGCCCAGACUCCUACGGGAGGCAGCAGUGGGGAAUCUUGCGCAAUGGGCGAAGGCCUGACGCAGCCAUGCCGCGUGAAUGAUGAAGGUCUUAGGAUUGUAAAAUUCUUUCAGCGGGGACGAUAAUGACGGUACCCGCAGAAGAAGCUCCGGCUAACUUCGUG
rnacentral:rRNA from 1 species